rnacentral:rRNA from 1 species
GCGCAGCAGGCGCGAAACUUUACAAUGUGCGAAAGCACGAUAAGGGAACUCUGAGUGCCUCCUAAGGAGGCUGUUCAGGUGUCUAAAAGCACCUGAAGGAAGGGCUGGGUAAGACCGGUGCCAGCCGCCGCGGUAACACCGGCAGCCCAAGUGGUAGCCACGUUUAUUGGGUCUAAAGCGUCCGUAGCCGGCUGGGUAAGUUCCUUGGGAAAUUUGGCUGCUUAACAGUCAAGCUUUCAGGGAACACUGCCCGGCUUGGGACCGGGAGAGGUCAGAGGUACUCCAGGGGUAGGGUGAAAUCCAUUAAUCCUUGGGGGACCACCGGUAGCGAAGGCGUCUGACCAGACCGGGUCCGACGGUGAGGGACGAAGGCUAGGGGCGCGAACCGGAUUA